AAUAGAUACCCGGGUAGUCCAUGCCGUAAACGUUGGGCGCUAGAUGUGGGGACCAUUCCACGGUUUCCGUGUCGCAGCUAACGCAUUAAGCGCCCCGCCUGGGGAGUACGGCCGCAAGGCUAAAACUCAAAGGAAUUGACGGGGGGCCCGCACAAGCGGCGGAGCAUGCGGAUUAAUUCGAUGCAACGCGAAGAACCUUACCAAGGCUUGACAUAUACGAGAACGCUCUAGAAAUAGAGAACUCUUUGGACACUCGUAUACAGGUGGUGCAUGGUUGUCGUCAGCUCGUGUCGUGAGAUGUUGGGUUAAGUCCCGCAACGAGCGCAACCCUCGUUCUAUGUUGCCAGCGCGUUAUGGCGGGAACUCAUAGGAGACUGCCGGGGUCAACUCGGAGGAAGGUGGGGAUGACGUCAAAUCAUCAUGCCCCUUAUGUCUUGGGCUUCACGCAUGCUACAAUGGCCGGUACAAAGGGCUGCAAUACCGCAAGGUGGAGCGAAUCCCAAAAAGCCGGUCUCAGUUCGGA
rnacentral:rRNA from 1 species